rnacentral:tRNA from 1 species
GCCUGGGUGGCUCAGUCGGUUGAGCAUCUGACUUCAACUUAGGUCAUGAUCUCACGGUUCAUGGGUUCAAACCCCACAUCGGGCU